GUAGAGAAAAGAGGGGAGUAGAGAGAGAGAGGGGAGUAGAGAGAGAGCGGAGUAAAGAGAGAGAGAGAGCGAGGGGAAGAGAGAGAGGGGAGUAGAGAAAGAGAGGGGAGUAGAGAGAGAGAGAGAGGGAGGGAGAGAGAGAGGGGAAUACAGAGAGAGAGCGAGAGAGAGGGGAGUAGAGAAAGAGAGGGGAGUAGAGAGAGAGAGGGGAGUAGAGAGAGAGCGGAGUAAAGAGAGAGAGAGAGCGAGGGGAGUAGAGAGGGGAGUAGAGAAAGAGAGGGGAGUAGAGAGAGAGAGAGGGAAGUACAGAGAGAGAGAGGGGAGUACAGAGAGAGAGCGAGAGAGAGGAGAGUAGAGAAAGAGAGGGGAGUAGAGAAAGAGAGGGGAGUAGAGAGAGAGAGGGAGUAGAGAAAGAGAGGGGAGUAGAGAGAGAGAGAGGGGAGUAGAGAGAGAGGGAGUAGAGAGAGAGAGGGGAGUAGAGAGAGAGAGAGGGGAGUAGAGAGAGCGAGAGAGAGAGAGAGAGAGGGAGAGAGCGAGAGGAGUAGAGAGAGCGAG
ensembl:lncRNA